rnacentral:rRNA from 1 species
AUUGAACGCUGGCGGCAUGCCUUACACAUGCAAGUCGAACGGUAACAGGUCUUCGGAUGCUGACGAGUGGCGAACGGGUGAGUAAUACAUCGGAACGUGCCCGAUCGUGGGGGAUAACGGAGCGAAAGCUUUGCUAAUACCGCAUGCGAUCUACGGAUGAAAGCAGGGGACCGCAAGGCCUUGCGCGGACGGAGCGGCCGAUGGCAGAUUAGGUAGUUGGUGGGAUAAAAGCUUACCAAGCCGACGAUCUGUAGCUGGUCUGAGAGGGCGACCAGCCACACUGGGACUGAGUCACGGCCCCGACUCCUACGGGAGGCAGCAGUGGGGAAUUUUGGACAAGGGGCGAAAGCCUGAUCCAGCCAUGCCGCGUGCAGGAUGAAGGCCUUCGGGUUGUAAACUGCUUUUGUACGGAACGAAAAGACUCCUUCUAAUAAAGGGGGUCCAUGACGGUACCGUAAGAAUAAGCACCGGCUAACUACGUGCCAGCCGCCGCGGUAAUAC